CUGAUACCACAUUGUCUAUUGUUUUCUGUGUAUUAGCUCUCUGAGACUUAACAAUUCCAAACAAACCACUAAUGAAAUUUCAUUCUUGAAUUUAGGAAACAAUCAAGGGAUCAAACAACUUUGCAAAACUUUACUGCAAAGUUGUAACAACAGCCCCGCUGGACGUCACUGGUGAGCCUCAUGUCUUUUAUUGUGAAGGACUUGUGGCUCACAUGACAACCUACCUUCUACCCUACGCAGCCCUGUGGAGCGGGAUAAUGCUUGGGAACCUUGGACGACAUGGAAAAGGAAAGGCGUACAAAGAGAACACAGGCAAACAUGAUGCCCUGAGAAAGCUCACAAGACAAAACAUUACACAGGACAACAACACUCAGGGAAUAAUGGAGAAGAGCCAGUGAGACCUGAAACAGAUACGUUUCAGUCAGUUCCCACAGGCUCACAAGACUGGACCAUUUUGUGGUCCAGUACCAGAAGUCCCACAACGCCCUCCUAUUGGAGUUUGAGGACUCCAAAAGAGUGCAAAAACAGAAGAAAUACAAAGUUGGAGUUGAGAAAUGGAAGGAACGCCAGUAGAGGAAACAGGGACGAUAUGUUAGAGCUAUAAGAAAGCCGUUCCCCUUCAGAAGAUCUGAUAAGAAGGUAUACCAUCAAUGAAAGAGUUUGCAAGACAACAGUGCCUUUUCUAGAGAAUGUCUCUAAAAUGUCUUGGCAGGAGAAAUGGUGUCAUAUUUUUUGUGUUGAUUUUUUGUGCUUUUAAAUAUGAAAUCCUAAUGUUUGUAUAUGAAUGUGUGUUGUGGUUGCUUAUUUUAAAUGUGAAUAGAUUCUCAGCUUCUUGUCAGUUAUGCACAGUUAAGAAGAUGUAGAAGAUUUUACAUGGGAUAUUCUGGGAAAGAUUCAUCGUGUAUUAUGUUUGUUAUAUUCAUGCUAUGCUCACCUGUUAAA